ACUGGAGAAAAGAACAGGUGGCUUCUAAUAUGUGCGAUAUUAUAGGUCAGUUUAUUAUGAUUCAAAUAUACUCUAUUCAGUUAUAAUUCCAAUUUUUAUUGCAAAGUUUAUAAGAACUAUAUGUUCGAUUUUUUAUUGUAAAGUAUAUUAGAUUUCUUUAAACUCUUGCGAAUUACAAUUUCUUUAAUCUUUUAUUACUUUCUUUAUAGUUUCAAAUUAAUUUUUCUAUUUCUAGCAAUAACUGAUACAGCUAUUAUUGACAAAGGGAAGACUUUUGUAUCUUGCAGCCGAGAUGGAACUGCAAAACUUUGGGACUGUGGCGAAGGGAAAUGCAAGCAAACGCUAGUCGAUACACAGUGCGUUAUUAACUCUUGUGCUCUUGGGGCUUGCAAUCCAGGAAUCUUUAACGACCAGACCCCUAUGGAAGGUACUGGUGAAGAUGGCUUGGGUGGCAGAGCUUUACUGAUCGCAAGGGAAGAUGGGAUACUAGAAGCCAUUGACAUUAAUAGCGGUACACAG